GACGAACGCUGGCGGCGUGCCUAAUACAUGCAAGUCGAGCGAAGUUUUUCUGGUGCUUGCACUAGAAAAACUUAGCGGCGCACGGGUGAGUAACACGUAAAGAACCUGCCUCAUAGACUGGGUCAACUAUUGGAAACGAUAGCUAAUACCGGAUAACAGUAUUUCUCGCAUGAGAGAUAUUUAAAAGUUGGUUAUGCUAACACUAUGAGAUGGCUUUGCGGUGCAUUAGCUAGUUGGUGGGGUAAAGGCCCACCAAGGCGACGAUGCAUAGCCGACCUGAGAGGGUGAUCGGCCACACUGGGACUGAGACACGGCCCAGACUCCUACGGGAGGCAGCAGUAGGGAAUCUUCCGCAAAGGGCGAAAGCCUGACGGAGCAACGCCGCGUGAGUGAAGAAGGAUUUCGGUUCGUAAAGCUCUGUUGUUAGGGAAGAAUGGAUAUGUAGUAACUAUACAUGUAAGAGACGGUACCUAACCAGAAAGCCACGGCUAACUACGUG
rnacentral:rRNA from 1 species